CAACGUUCUGUAACUGUCAGGUACAAAGUUACAUAAUGCUGUGUCCCAAAUUGCAUGGCCUCAAAUGCAAAGGAACAGCAGAUUCUUUUUCACCCGCUGAUAACUCUCCUGAAACUAUUAACUCACCUCAUCCCAGAAGAAAAAAAUGCCACCACAAUAAGGCUAUGAAGCAAAGAGCACCUCCAGAAAGAAGUGAGGAACAAGAUAUAGGUACCACACGCAAGUGAAGAGGUCAGAUGCUUCAAUACCCAACUAAAACAUCUUUUUGAAGAGAAAAUAUGAAUUCAAAGAUAUAGCUUAUAUCCUAAACAGAGGGGUCACUGCUGUGUUAUUUAUUUAUCCAUAAACCUGGAUUUGGCUGGACAGGAUUGCUGAGCAUUGCCAACAAAAGCUGAAGUCAAUGGAAGCACAGCUUUGAAUAAAUACAGGGUAAAGUGCCAGCACUGCUUCAAACAGGGCUCGCUCAUUCUGUUCUAGCACCUGCAGCACAGGGUAAUAAAAACUGACAGGCACCUUAAGAAAAUGUUGCUACAAGGAAAGAACGAGGAUGUUCAGCCACUUACAUAUAUUCAGGGAAACUGUAAGAAGGUCAGCAUGAAUGGACAACAAAUGUCUAGAAAAAGUCUAGCAAGACUGAGAGAAAAAAUUAAAAACACCAGAAGUCAGGAGAAAAUAAUGUAGCCUCUAUAACUGCUCUUCACAUUCAUAGAGGAAAUCAGGUAAACAGAGAAGACAGAUAAAUAGUAAGAGAAAGCAAUGUCACCGAUCCAACUCAGUAACUGAUGAGGAGCGUGGCAACAUCGUAGUCAGAAGGAGCCAGAGUAAGGCUGUCAGUGGAACCACUAAAGCCAGUCCAAGUAACAGUGUCAGUAUCUUGUACAUCUGACCCGCAAAAUAAAAAUGAAACAACUGCAAUAACUGAAGCAGGAUAUGAAACUAUACAGGACAAACAUUGUUUCUAGCUUUUAUGACUGAAAUUCAAGGAUGUCAUCGCUUAGGAAGCACAGUGCAGAAAUAAUGUGGCAUUAUGCAUUAUUGACACAAUACCCUGGACAAGAUGAUUCCUGCUUCUUGAAAGACUAGGAUAUGGCUGAUCUAACAGGGACUUCCACAGACAGCAUUUCACAUGCUGCUACGGGCAAAGCGACCAUACAAAUGGAGACAAAAAAGUAACCAGUGCAAUUGAGGUAAGAAAGAAAAUGGCAAAACGGGAAAGAACUGCUAGUGCUCAAUUGAAUCUGCUAAAGAAGUGUGAAUAAUGGAGUUUCUUAAGGGCAAAUCUUGAGACCAGUUUAGUUGAGAUCACUUGAGAUACUUGAAAUGAGUAAUGUCGGUUAUUAAAGUAGAAACAUAAUAUUUACAAGACAUCAUCAACCCAGAAGAGAUAAGCUCAUCAUACAAAAAGAACUGAAGAACUAGCAAAGCAGACUGAUAUUUAAUAGCACUACAAGGUCAUGACCUCAAGAACUCAAUUCUCAUCAUAAAGUAGGACCUCAAUCAGUAAGAGUGACACAGAAAAUAGAAAUACAGGAGUUUUUUCAGUUGAUUUCUCGACAAUUAUAAACCACAAAUAUAAAUAUUAUGUGUGAAAAGGUAAACAAAAUUGUAGGUUGUAUGAAAAACUAUGCAUUUCAUAUGGUUGCCUUUUGCAUCUAUGCAUGCCUGUUUUAAUAAAAAAGUUCUUUCCAUUGUGUUUGUCCUUUUAAAUUAAUUCUCCUUGCUUUACGUGUCCAGUGGAGCCAAGGACUGAGCUAUAUUUUAAGACAUCCACCAGCUCAAGUUUAUAUUUGAAAAAAGCUACUGUGCAAGCAAAUUAAUUUGCAAGAAAACUUUCCAGUUCCUAUACAAAAAAAUGAAGCCUUUAAAAAAAACCUUUAAAAUUUACUACAAUCCAUUUUCAAGUAGUUUUGGAUAGCAUACACAACAGCAGGUACUUCUCCCUUGCCUAGCAAGAAAAAAAAAGUUAUACAAGUAAUCUACCACUUUUUAAAACCAUAUCAGAAGAGUGUGUUUCUGUUUGGACAAGGGAGGUGAGACUGUCUGCAGAAACUUGCAUCAAAACAUCACCUGUAAAAUCUCCUGACAAUUAUGGCUGAUUUUUUUACUCAGAAGUCACAGGUCCAGCUUCACUUUUAGCAGCCAAAAACAGAAGGAGCCACCCACCUGAAGACCCUCACCACCAAUGUUUCAUCAGUCCAAACUUUUCAAGAUUUCAUUUGCAAAAAUUCUCAUCCACAGAAAGUGCAUGGGUAUAUUGUCAUGUGGCAUUGCCAUAUUUGAAAAUGCCACAGCUCCCCUUCCAUUCUGUACUAUCAAAGUCCUACUUCUUCUUGUUCCUGACUUUUGUUUCCUCUACUCUCUUGUUCUUUCUUAGUCUUCCUGCUACACAGUCAGCUGCUACUUCAGGCUUUGUGAGUUUUAAGAAAAACCCUUUCAGUUACUGUCAGAGGUCUCACUGUUCUCAAUUUUUUUUUUCAAUUGUCACAGGAAGAAACAAUAUGGUCCUGGAGAGAACACAUGAGCAAGAGAAUUCUUUAGUGAGGUGAAAUAAUUAGGUCAGACUGUUGUGGGCAUCAUGAUUUAAAACUAGAAGUUAUCUUUAUAAGUAGUUUAACAAAAUUUCAAACGCACAAAGUGUGCUAUAAACAUUUUACACACUUGGUUAUUACACACCUUAACACUUGCUAAGCACAUCAAUAGAUGACAUUAGAUUUGCUUAUAAGCCAUCUGUUAGCAUGCUAACAAUCAGUUAAUACAUUAAUAAUUUGUUAAUCCUUUACAAAUGUUAAGGUCAUGCAGUAAAUGGGAGUAACACUAGCCACCUCCAUGUUAAUUCAUUAAUGCUUUUAACUCGUCUCUUUCACAAAGCAAGCUACUUCAGCAGAAUGAAGCAGCAACUUUCAACAAGGAAUUAGGAAAAUUUCAUUUAAUCCAAAACAAUAUUUAACCACUCGAGUGUUUUAAAACAAAAUAUUUGCUCUGUUUCUUUCAGCAAUUUCAAGAAGAAGCUACAAUUCCAAAGACUUUCUUUAGGAAAUGAGUCUUGCAAAAAGAGCCUUACUCAGAGAAUAAAACCCAGAGAGCUUUGAUGGGUGAAUUUCUUUGUUGUCUGACAUUUCCCAUUAAACGAUCAGCUUUAAGUUGCCUACAGUGCUGCCAAAAAUAACUUUUUAGGAUGAAUCUUUUUAAGCUGAGCACCUUCACAAUAAUUCACAUUAGAAAGGUGAAUUUCACCAGAACAUCCAUUUAUGACUAUGACAUAAAACAAAAUCAUAUAUAAAAAGUCCAUGACAAAGCCAUAAUGAAUGCUUUUUCCAGUUAUGUUAGAAGUGGUUGUUUGUCCAUCUGUGUGAAAAUCCAUCCCAAGUCAUAUAUUUUGAAGUUCAGUUUGGUCAUGGGGAAAGAAAAUCAGUUCUGCAUUUUCAGACUAAGUUAUCACUUGGUUAAAAUGUCUAGAUUUCUAGAAUUCAGAACUUCUAGCCAGCAUUCUCCUUGAAUUUGAUUAAAUGUACUUUUAAAACCCUGAAUGCUAUUAAUUUUGCACAGGACUAAGUGAACACAACUACAGGGAUUUAUUGGGCCUUUCUCUGUAACCUGAAGCAAAUUGACACAGAAAGUGGAAGAGGGUAGGCCAACUCAAAUGAGAAGCCUCAAGGAAAAACAGAAUCAAAAUUCAGGAACAGGAAGAAAUAGAUGUUUGAAAGCAGCUGAACAGUUCAAGGGUGGAUAAAACAAAGAAAAUGGGCCAUGCCCACUGUAACCUAUUGACAGUGCUCUUCACACAUAUCUUUCAUUAACUUUGUUAAACCAAGAACAAAGAACUAUAGAGUUGAUCAAAAGCUUCUUAACUUUGGUGAUGAAUCAUGUGAAAUUUAUAAUUCUAACAUGCAACAGAAUCUGUGGUUUUGCUUAAGUAGUUUAUUUAGACUCCAGGAAUUUAAAAGAAAACUGUUUCAAAUUCUUGCAAAUUUUGCAAAGCCAUCCAGAAAAAAAAAAAUUAGGAAGAGCAGGAGUAAUUCUCCAGAAUCUUGAAGAUGUACAGAGAACAACAUACACAGUAAGUCAGUAUCAAAGAAAUUAAAUAUUUUGCUUCUUUUCCCUGAUGAAAAAUUCUUAAUUCCUGAGUAAUUGCUAUGUAGCAUAAACUGAAAGUUUUCACAGGAACCAAUUUGUUGUCUUCACUUUUUCAUGCCUAACUUGAGAUUCACACAAACAGCAAACUUAAGAGACUGCAGUGGAUGUUCUGUUUUCAAAGACCUAUAUUCUAAAUAUUUCAGAAAAAUCCUACAAUUUUUCAGUCUUCUCAGAUUGAGCAUUGAGAAGAAAAUGAAUUUCCCAAACUCUGAGCCUCUUAUUUACCUCUGUAGAAUGGACUUCACAUCAUCCCUUCUAACACUGUUGUGCCAAAGCAGAUCAGUACCUAUCCUGAUUGGCACAGUGCUUCUCUCCUAUAAGAUCUUAGAAAAAUUGACAACUCUAUCUCUGGAAUGAGCUUGAGAAACAUGCAAUAAAGGGACAAAGCCACUUUUCCACAAGGAGGAAAAGGAAGACAUCAAUUAAUUGUGAUUUACAAAUCUACUCAUAGCUUGUAGGAAAAGACAGAAUCAUAUAACUGAAACUUAAGGAAAUUAAAACGUUGACCAAAUCUGAACAAAUGCAAGGAAAGUUUCUGUGACCUUUCACAACUUGCAUUUUUAAAAGUCUAAAAUUUACACAUAAUAAUAAAAUGAUUACACAAAUGAAGAUCUAAUUCUAUAUACAGAAAUUUUACAUUCUUCUAACUACUGAGACAACUGCUUUGUACCAGCAUGUGCAGCAUUCUAACAACUGCUUAAAAGCAAUGCUUUUGUGAAACAUGGUAAAAAUAGAUUAAAAAAAAUGAAACAGAACAUGGCAGUGCUACCCUAAAUUUAGGUACAGAACAUAUAAGAUAUCGCAUUAGCCUAAAAACUGUGAAGUCUAGAAUAGAAGCAGAAUUCAGAUGUGUACUGUUUAAGGUAAGACCACUUUCAAACUUUAAACUAAACAGUGCUAUAUUUUAGCUUCCCCUUAGUAUAGGUCUGCUAGAAAUUACUCUUGAAUGACCUUCAUGAAAGGAGAGCUAUUUUACCAACUGCUAACAAAUAGAAAUAUUCAUCAUUCUUUCAGCAAACUCUUUUUUUUUUUCCUUGAAGAACCACCACAACCUGAAAACACUACUUUUCCAGGUCCCUCCUCCUCUUACAUGCCAUUCACAAAAGCAGUCGAGGCAAAUAGAUGAAAACUGGGAGAGACGAUCCAAGAAGGGAAAUAGCAAAAUGAACUCCAUGCUCUUCCCCUUCCCUUCUACGGUUCCUCCCAAAGACAGAUAAAUCCUCUACCAAAGUUUUAAGUUUCAUAUUAAUACCUUUAAUGUUUUUAAGGAAGUCCAGUCUAUGUACAGAGUUGAUCACAACAUCAGCUGCCUACCAAACUCAGACCUUUGCUCUUCCUUCGCUAACUCUGACAGAUUAACUAUGAUCGAUUACUUAAAAUCAAAACUCUGACCAAUAAGCAAUUAGUGCUCAGUUAUCAUACUUUGAAUAUAAAACAGCUGUGUGCUUUUUUCUUGUGCUAUUCCUAUGUUUUAGUGAAUUUGAACAUGCAGACAUUUACAAUUCAAUCAAAUUCAAAAUCUAACAAGAAAUUGUAAAAUACUUCAAAACUACUUUGAUAGAACAUCAUGUGUCACUUGUAUCUGUUACAGUGGAAAACUGCUGAAAUACCACAAUAUGUGCUCCCACAUUUAAGUAUUCAUAAUCCAGCUACACUUAGUAGCUGGUUCUAGUUAGUAGUACCAACAGAAGCGUGUAAGAAAUCGGGGGGAAGCAGACCUAGGUACUUUCCUCCUUUUUUUUUUCUUGCUGCCCAUAAAGUUGCAGGCUGCCAGUGCUUGUGCAUCAUCACACAAGAAAAAUUAAGACUGAACUACAUGUUAAGAAAUAGUUUUUAAGGUAACAGUAACACCACUAAGUGUGGUUGCCUACUAAACUACCAAGAAGCUAGAGCCCGGAAUGACAACUUUAGACUAAAGAAAUAUACUGUUUUAAAAAUUAAUCUUUAAAUAGACUUAUUACACAGUUGCAUACAACUAUUUCUGACUGAAAAAAACCCUCUAGAUUUAAAAAAGGUUUUUAAAAUUAGUCACUAGAGUGUAUUAGCCAGUAAAACUCCUUUACUCAUAAACACACAACUUCAAUUGUUACACUCAUGAAUGUUCCAAUACUUGAACUCUACCUUCAUACAUAUAUACACAUUUAUAUUUAAACACAAACUCAUUGCAUGUUAGAAUUGGCAUUUUGUUUAAAUAUUAAAUAUUGAAGUUAUAAAAUUAUAAGCUAAAUUUAGGAAUUUUGUAUCUGGUCCAGAUUAAUUCCAAUUGAAAACAAUGAAGAAAAAAACACCACACCAAAACACUUCCCCAAAAAUCCCUUCUCAGUCUCGCUUCAAAAGAUAGCAUGUUAGAACUAUCUUUAUAUACAAUAAACACCACCUUUUUUAUUUCUGCUAGAGAAAUAUUUAUCAGUAAAGCUGCCAAGAAUGGUUUGAUGCAUGCCAGAAUCUUCAGAGCACAAACUGCAUUGCAUUUUAUGUUUCUAAAGAACAUUACUUGGAAAACAGCAAAACUCAGCACAGUUUCUGGAAAAUUGUUACAGUGUUGCUAUAAUUAAAAAUCCACAAGGUAGACAUAAUUAGAAUUCUGGUCUGCAAACAUUUAAUUCCUUCUCUAUCUUCCCUGCAAAGAAUUUCUUAUCCUUGCCUCCAAGGGUCUAUUUCAGGCACUAUCAAUCCUCCUAACCCCACAAGCUGUGUCCCAACAUCUUCACACGGCCAAAAGCCAAAUAAAUACACCAUUUACCUGAAACAUGUGAAGGGAAAGAGAAGCUCAGAAGCAGGAGAUGACAACAGUUCUGUACAAGCCCCACCACUCAGUUGGAAAAUGGAACUGAGCCACUGCUGGGAGAACGGCGUCCCGGGGACAAUCAGUGAAUGCCAGCCUCAAAUGCCAGAGCUGAGGAUCACCUAACAUAACAGCACAACAGGACUGCUUGCCACAUGACAGUCAGAGACCCUGCACCUGAACCACUCAGAAGCCAAAAAAUAUUCAGAAGAACAAACUGGCCAUGUUUUUGCAUUUCCUCUCUGGCCUAGUUCCACACCUGUUCCCAUGAUCUCAUCUCCAGCUCUUACUUGCUACAUUACAUUUCAUUCCAGACUGAUCACUUCUCUUUUUCCUUUCAACUAUCAGCUUUGUAUCUCCAUUUCUUAAAUAUAUACAGUGCAAUUGAUUUUUUCCAGUAAGUGUAUGAAUGUAAUCUCCCUCAAAGCAUUUUUAGUGGCCUUUCCACACCAAUCACAAGGCAAACACCAGCAGAGUUCCUACCAAGUUGUAAUUUAAAUCUCCUGAUAUGUUUGCAGCACAGCUCCUUGGGACAGACACCAACUGUUUUUGACAUACAAGAUGCACUAAAGAAUUACUCAAAUUAAGGGAUGAAAAAAUGUAGUAUAUUGCUUUAUAUACAUGUUUUAAGAGAAAUAUUUUAAAAUUGAACAUUUUUUCCUACAGCAAGAUACAUCAAUAGCUGAGUAUCAACUACUUUCAAAUAUUAUACUCAGAACACAAAUCUCAGUUACAGAUCUUUUCUGAUCAAAAUUCAUGAUCACUGCAAAGACCUGAACUACAAAACAGCUCUCCCUGAUGUUAUUUCAAACAGUGAACAUAUUAACAGUUUUCUUCUUUCUUAGAAAGCCUAAUAAUCCCAACAUAAAAUAACAGGUUAACACAAAGAACUUGCUAAUGUUCAUAAGUGUGUUGCUAGGAAGUUUACUGGAAGGUAUUUCUAAAGUUGCUCAAAACCACACAGUUAUGGAGGGUGGCAGAUGUAAACGGAUAAACCUGCCAGAACUACUUGAUAGUGCUGACAAGCAGAACUUACUGUGUCAACAUAUUGCCCAAUUUAGGGGUGGGGGGAAGAAGAAAAAAGACAACCAGAACCUUGGCAGCAAAUAUUAAUCUCUUAGACUAAUUUGAAUUUCAUCUUUAUCAGUGCCACUAAACAGUUGUCUCCUACCAAUGGUUUCAAGAUGUCUUUGGCAUUUUGUAAAGUAUAGCAGUAAUCAACAGUAACCCAGAUAAUUUUUAAUAAGCAAAAUUCAGCAGCUUGUAUUUUAAAAAAGAGAAGCCUAAUAGGAAAAAAAAAUACAAGUGUUCUGAGUCUUUGAAAUCAGACUGUUAUACCAGCUGGUGCUGAGAAUAGCCUACGCAUUUGCUGCAUGAAAAUACCAGGUUAAAUCCACAGAGAAGAAAACAAGUUUCCAAUUUACAUAUUGGCUAAUACUUCAGGUUUUUUUAAACCUUAAUUUCAAAAUCAAAAGAACUUUUCUUUAAAAGCAGUUAGCUAUAUUUUUCCUUGUGAUGAGUAAAUAUCUGCCAGUUUAAUUUGUGACAAUUUACACUCACAAUAAUAAAGUUCUGUAUUCAUUAAAGAUGUAUCUCACUAACCAAACCACAGAAAUAAGACCAUUUACUGUUGUUUUCACUACUAAUUGAAAUAUACCAAGAUUUGUAAUGUCUUACAUGUAGACAAUUCAGAACACUUGUAAAUUGAAACAUAUUUCCCAUGCCUAAAAAAUGACUGGGAGCUAUUAGCUUUUAUGGUGCUGUGCUCUGUGCAACAUAGUAUUUACAGCAUGCAAAUUGUGUCUAAAGUGUAAUCUUCCUCCAGCCUUCAGUGCUCCAGAGACAUUAACCAGCAGCUCACCAGAAGCCACUCCACCUUCAUUUAGGGCAGCCAAUAAAAAAAUUGCAACUCUCCCUUUAAAGAGAAUGAAGCAGCAAAAUGAAAUU